AGAGCUGUGUAACGGCCAGGGGCGGGGCUUACGUACGGAGGUGAGGAGUAGGAGUGGUAGCGUCACCCGGAGCCUGUCUUCCAGACCCACCCAGACCGCCAGGGCCCCCAAGGCCAGGCCCUCCUCUGUCCAGCAGACAUGCACCCAGCCCCAGACACAGACCCAGAGAGAAGGCAUGGUGCCUGCUGGUCUGGCCAGCACUCUGGAACACAUAGUGGCUCAACUAGAUGUUCUCACACAGACUGUGGCCAUCCUAGAACAGAGGCUGACUCUGACAGAGGACAAGCUGAAGGAGUGUAUUGACAACCAGCAUCAGAUCAACUUGCAACUCCACCGCAGGGAACCAGACCUCCAACCAAGGGACUAACACCCAACCAGACCACCAGGGAACCAGACCUCCAACCAAGGGACUAACACCCAACUAGAUCUCCAGACCACCAGACCUCCAACCAAGGGACUAACACCCAACUAGAUCUUCAGACCUCCAGACCACCAGGGAACCAGACCUCCAACCAAGGGACUAACACCCAACCAGACCUCCAGACCUCCAACCAAGG